rnacentral:rRNA from 1 species
AUUAGCUAGUUGGUAGGGUAAAGGCCUACCAAGGCGACGAUCUAUAGCUGGUCUGAGAGGACGAUCAGCCACACUGGGACUGAGACACGGCCCAGACUCCUACGGGAGGCAGCAGUGGGGAAUAUUGGACAAUGGGCGCAAGCCUGAUCCAGCAAUACCGCGUGUGUGAAGAAGGCCUUAGGGUUGUAAACGGCUAACUCCGUGCCAGCAGCCGCGGUAAUACGGAGGGUGCGAGCGUUAAUCGGAAUUACUGGGCGUAAAGCGUGCGUAGGCGGUUCGUUAAGUCAGAUGUGAAAGCCCUGGGCUCAACCUGGGAACUGCAUUUGAAACUGGCGGACUAGAGUUUAGUAGAGGGGAGUGGAAUUUCAGGUGUAGCGGUGAAAUGCGUAGAUAUCUGAAGGAACACCAGUGGCGAAGGCGACUCCCUGGACUAGAACUGACGCUGAGGUACGAAAGCGUGGGUAGCAAACAGGAUUAGAUACCCUGGUAGUCCACGCCGAAAACGAUGUCGACUAGCCGUUGGUCCUAUUUACAGGAUUAGUGGCGCAGCUAACGCAUUAAGUCGACCGCCUGGGGAGUACGGCCGCAAG